AGUGAACCCUGGUGGCGUGCCUAAUACAUGCAAGUCGAACGAACGAAUAAGAGCUUGCUCUUCUAAGUUAGUGGCGCACGGGUGAGUAAUAUAUAGCUAAUCUGCCUCUUAGUAGAGGAUAACAGUCGGAAACGAUUGCUAAUACUCUAUACUUCUGCUUUACAUAAGUAAAGUAGAGAAAGUUUUUCGCUAAGAGAUGAGGCUAUACUGUAUCAGCUAGUUGGUAAGGUAACGGCUUACCAAGGCUAUGACGCAUAACUGGUCUGAGAGGAUGAUCAGUCACAUUGGAACUGAGACACGGUCCAAACUCCUACGGGAGGCAGCAGUAGGGAAUAUUGCGCAAUGGGGGAAACCCUGACGCAGCAACGCCGCGUGGAGGAUGACACUUUUCGGAGCGUAAACUCCUUUUAUCGGGAAAGAAUAAUGACGGUACCCGAUGAAUAAGCACCGGCUAACUCCGUG
rnacentral:rRNA from 1 species